AGAUGAGGUUUCCCAUAGCUUAAAGCUAGUAAGACCCCUGGCAGACAACCAGGUAGAUAGGCCGGGUGUGUAAGCUUAGUAAUGAGUUUAGCUGACCGGUACUAAUAGGUCGAGGGCUUGACCUA
rnacentral:rRNA from 1 species